rnacentral:lncRNA from 1 species
AUCUAUCAACAAAAACUCUUGUUAUCCCAAUUGCUUAAUCACAAUUUUAAAUCUACAAUAUUUAUCUACAAAAUUGAUAACUUUCCCAAAAUAGCAGUUUUUAGAAAAUUUAUUUAAAAAUAGAACCUAUUGAUCAAAAAUUUUAAAAGAAUGCCCAUCUAUCAACAAAAGCUCUUGUUAUCCUAAUUUAUAAAUCACAAUCUCAAAUCUAAAAUAUUUCUCUACAAAAAUAACAACUUUCCUAAAAUAACAAUUUUUAGAAAACUUAUUUAAAAAAUGCAACCUAUUGCUCAAAAAUUCUAAAAGAAUGCCCAUCUAUCAACAAAAACUCUUGUUAUCGUAAUUUCUCAAUAACAAUCCCAAAUCUAUAAUAUUUCUCUACA